rnacentral:rRNA from 1 species
GAUGAACGCUGGCGGCGUGCUUAACACAUGCAAGUCGAACGAUGAAGCCCAGCUUGCUGGGUGGAUUAGUGGCGAACGGGUGAGUAACACGUGAGUAACCUGCCCUUAACUCUGGGAUAAGCCUGGGAAACUGGGUCUAAUACCGGAUAGGAGCGUCCACCGCAUGGUGGGUGUUGGAAAGAUUUAUCGGUUUUGGAUGGGCUCGCGGCCUAUCAGCUUGUUGGUGAGGUAAUGGCUCACCAAGGCGACGACGGGUAGCCGGCCUGAGAGGGUGACCGGCCACACUGGGACUGAGACACGGCCCAGACUCCUACGGGAGGCAGCAGUGGGGAAUAUUGCACAAUGGGCGCAAGCCUGAUGCAGCGACGCCGCGUGAGGGAUGACGGCCUUCGGUUUGUAAACCUCUUUCAGUAGGGAAGAAGCGAAAGUGACGGUACCUGCAGAAGAAGCACCGGCUAACUACGUG